rfam:Sporolactobacillus inulinus CASD NODE_85, whole genome shotgun sequence.
UGUAAGGGAACUUUCGCUAAAGGCGUGUACGUCCUGUAUGCAACGCGGAAGCCACCGCAUCCUGCGGA